AUUUACGCGUUUCACCUAUGAGGUUUUUUCAAAAUGGUAAAAAAAAAACAUUUACCAUUUUGAAAAAACCUCAUAGGUGAAACGCGUAAAUGGUUUUAAU